rnacentral:rRNA from 1 species
UACGAAGGGGGGCUAGCGUUGCUCGGAAUCACUGGGCGUAAAGCGCACGUAGGCGGACUCUUAAGUCGGGGGUGAAAUCCUGGAGCUCAACUCCAGAACUGCCUUCGAUACUGGGAGUCUUGAGUUCGGGAGAGGUGAGUGGAACUGCGAGUGUAGAGGUGAAAUUCGUAGAUAUUCGCAAGAACACCAGUGGCGAAGGCGGCUCACUGGCCCGGAUACUGACGCUGAGACGCGAAAGCUAGGG